GGGAAAUAUGCUAUGGAUACUUUUGAAGAAACAAGUCUGUAGAUAAUGCAUUCAUAGAAAGAAGGUAUGUACGCUCUUGUCAUGAAUAGAUCAAAAUGAAUCUUGAGGUCAUUACAGGGAGAGCCAGCCGUUGAGGUUACAAAUGAAGGUGUUGAUGCUGCAGGGCAUACAAUUGGUACAUCUUUGGAGGUCGUGUUCAAACUUAGGAAGGUUCUCAACCCCAACACUGUGAUCAAACCAACAUCACUAGCUGAAGAUUAUUUUGAGAAUAACAUCUAUCGAAUAAAUUUCAGACGAAAGACCUUGGUAAACUCCUAUAU